rnacentral:sRNA from 1 species
UAUUCGAACAACGCUGUCUAAGGAUGAUGGACAGUAUGUACGAGGAGGAUACCAAACAAGCCAUUAAAUUAAUGGAUGAUGAGGCAAAUGUUUGGGGAAUAAACUCAAGUCCAUUAACAUUUGCUUAUGAAAAUGUAAUGUAUGAUGUAGUAGCUCACACGUGCUCCCAAAAGUUCAUGAACAAGCAGUGGUACAACAAGUUGGCCCCUGACCUUGUUCCUUUCUUAAAGAUGCUGUUUUUUUCAAUGCUUGUUAUGUACAGUGCAUUUGUACUUACAAGUGUUGACACCGAAUACUACGUGCAGGAUAUCGCCAAAAUUUAUGAAUACUACGUGUAUUUCUGGGGUGUUGGGGAUCUGAUUGAAGAACUUAUCAGCUGUUUCGGCUGUCUUGAAGCACAUGGUCGUUCCCACAGGAGCAAUUAUUCCCGGAUAAAGAGAUACCUUUAUGACUUCUGGAAUCUAGUGGAUCUGCUGUCAUAUGCUUUGCUCGUAUCGGCGCUGUUUGUACGUCAUUUUUAUAUUGAUGAAAAUUUUGUCAUCGCCAGACGCAUGUUUGCCCUUUCCCUACUGGUCAUGUAUCUAAGAUUCUUGGAAGUGUUUUUAAUCCAUCGAACACUGGGACCUACACUUAUUAUGAUCAAGGAGAUGCUGAAAGAUCUUCUUAGUUUCCUGAUUUUAGCCGUCUUUGUUGUAUUGGGUGUUGGGAUCUACUACCAUGCUAACUUAUGGCCAGACCAUCAAACAAUAUGGAACGGAGAUUGGACCGAUUGGAGAAUUUGGAAAAUAAUAUACUAUCCAUACUGGCAGCUAUACGGGGAAUUAAAUCUUGAAACCCUUGAGGCUACACAUUUGAGAGAGUACAGGAGAACUCAGAAAAGCUAUGGCGGUUUCAGAGAUAUACAGUCAUUAAUGAUUAUGACUGGAGAAUCCCCUCUCCCCUCAACAUCGCAUUUCUUCCCUACCGUCUACUUUGCUGUCCAACAAGGACUGAUUGCUGUUUACAUUGGUGCAAAAGUAAGCUCAUUUUAA